AUAAUGAAUACAUUUUAACCACAGCAGUCUCCCCAGCUAUGAGCAUCUCACCACCAUACAAUUUCCCCACGAGGAAAGACAAGAUUGCACUGUCAUUAGAAUAGAUCUGUGAGUCUUCAUCAUUCCAUCCCUGACUUGCAGCUGCCCUAUAGACAGAUGAACUUGGAAUCUGCUUUGGAGAGAGAUGCAGUGGUUGAUAAAAGCCAGAAAGCACGCUGGCAUACAUUUACAUUGGAUGAAAUACCAAUUCCAUUUAGCUACAGUAUGAGAUGCUUCUUUUAUUUGCAUGGGAGAUCAACCAUAUAAGGCAUAAUAACUUCUUUCAGAAGUUCAUUGCUAGUCCCAUACUAGCUUAUCCCAGCAGGAAUGGCUGGCAGCUCUUCAUGCAGUCAUAAAUGUCUAGAUCUAUCUUCAUGGUCAUCUUCACCCUAGUUAGGAACACUUGGGCUCA